UGGAGUGAAGCAAAGUCCUCGAAGAGGCAGG
rnacentral:piRNA from 1 species